UUCCUUUGAUGACUUGCCAUGCUAAUACCGAGUGUGUGAUGCUAGUUGAGCUUCGACUCCUAGCCGCACUGUGAGUUCAAAGGGUCUCAGAAAAUCUGAGGAAU